GGAUUUUUUAGGGUGAGUUUUUGUGAGCGGAAGGUUUAUUUAUAGUAGUUUGAGCGAAAUUAAAGGGUUUCCUAGAGAGCGUGAGAGUACCGCAGGGGAAAGUUUUUAUUUGUUUAGAAUAUUAGGGUUUUUGUUACCUUUUGUAUUAGGGGUGAUCAAUGUGUCAUUAUAGUCAUAAUUUCUCGAUUAAUAUCGGGCUACUUUUUCUUAGUUUAUUCUCGUGGUAUAGCGUUAGACAGGAGGUUGUAGGGAUGAAAUAUUAUUCAAGUUAUUUUUUAUCUGGUUUCCUAAGAAAGUUAAUAUUAGGUAGUUUUAUUACUACAAUAGGUAGGGAUUAGCUUAUCUAUUUUUUAUAUUAGUUUAGUGUUGAUGAUUGUAUGUUGAGUUGAUGGUGCUUAUUUGGAUGGAGUUAUUAUUGUACAAAGGGGUUUAAUUAUUCUUAGCUUUUAUGUUACUAUUAGGGCUAUAUUAAUAAUUUAUUAUGGUAGGUGAAAAUGAUUAUAUUAGUAAUAUUUUUGUUAUUUUUUGAUUUGGAAUUAAAAUUUUAGAUGAUGGGAUUAGAUUAAGAUUAGGGUUGAUGAAUUCGGCAAACUUCUAUUUCUGACUGUUUAGCAAAGACAUUGUUUUUUGUUAGUAUAAAAAAUAAGUUCUGUCCACUGCUAAUGGGUGAAGGGCUGCAGUAUUUUGCCUGUAUGAAGGUAGCAUAAUCAUUAGCUUUUUAAUUGGGGGCUGGUAUGAAGGUGAAACAGGGAGAUACUUUAUUUUUUCUAUUGGUUGAAUUUUAUCUCCACGUGAAAAAUCGUGGUUGAUUAAAGGGGACAAGAAGACCCCAAUAAGUUUUAUCUUUUUUUUUAAUGCGGACAUAGGUUCUAUUGGUUCAAUUUAUUGGGCGGGGUUUGGCUGGGGCGGCAGUUUAUUUUACAUAAAUUUUUUUUUAACUUUGUGUGACGAGAUUAAGACCUAAUUUUUUAGAUGAGUGCAAAAUUACUGUGGGGAUAACAGCGUGAUUUUAUUUGAGAGUUCUAAUUGACAGUAAAGUUUGCGACCUC
rnacentral:rRNA from 1 species